GUAGACUCACCCUGAAGGGAAUAACCAACACCAGGCCUCUGAUGAAGAAACAAGAUCACUUGAUCUAAUACUUGCAAUCAACAGCCCAGACUUUGAUGAUUAUUAUAGAUGUACAUUCAGUAUCUGGUGAGUCACCAAGUACGAGUGUUAUGCAUCUAGACACGGAGACAGAGUCACCAAUUGGCAAGUUUCAGACGAGCUCUGCAGCAGAGGAUUCAGGUUAGACUGCCUGAAGCUGCUGGGAAUGUGGUGUGGAGGCAUUGGGCCGUGUGCUAAAAGCUGGAAGGAGCGAGUAGCUAUGGGCAGCAUCCCUGGCGGUGCAGCAAUCCCUCAGCACUGCACUGGACUGUCAGCCCUUUUGUGUACAAGUCCUGGAGAUCAACAUAAACCACAGGCUCAGGAUGAGGAUUCUACCAACUAUGCCAUGGAUGACACAAAAUGUCUGUAUUUGUUGCAAUGGGAAUUGGAACAUAAAGCAAUUAAUUGUCUCAAUCUUUUUCACAUGUUUCAGCACCUGAUUCCAAUGAAACUUUAAUUAUUAAUCUGUUGCUGUCUAAAAUGCUAGGCCAAAAUUAUUCAGAUACAUUCCAAAUCUCAGCUGAAUUUGACAUUAGCAUUUUUUUCCUCUAAUGGCUAGUUUGAUGCAUUCUCUGUCAGCUGAAUGUGAAUAACUGUGAUUAUACUGUGAAAUGGAUUGCUGAUGCAAUCUUUAAUAAGACACAGUGACAUGAAAGCUCAAAUGUAAUUAAUAAUGAAGAGUUAAUCGUAUGACUUUUGUCUUUCUCACCAGCAGCAAGUGCUGUGUAGGUCAAAUCUGAGAAUCAUCUCGACAAUUUAAAACCUAGAUUUGCAGGAAAUAUAUUGCCUGAGGAUUCAGGGAGGAACCUGUUGUGCUUUAAAUUUCAUGAUUGACCUCAAAUGUCUCAAGUGAAAUUUUGCAAAUGUUACUAACCUUUUGCCAAAAUUAUGACUCACAUAAGUACAGCUAUUUACUCAAUGCCUAAAACAAUUAACACCCUUCUAAUUCCAAGUAACUAAGAGGCAAUAGGGGCUAUGGUGACAUUUAGGAGAUGAUGAAAAUAUAUUUUGUUAACAAUUUACCAAAGGAUCACAGGAAUAGACUUGAUUAUAAUUAAUUGAGUAGAGAAUUGAUUUAAAUUUGAUUUUUCAGAUGCAUUUAUGGAGAUGCAAUUUUUUUUAUAGUCGUUCUGACACACCAGGCAUUUUCUGCUGCUACAUCUGCAGCAACAGAAGCAGGUAAAUUCUCUCGGCAUUAUUCAUCCCAGAUCCUCAGUGAAUUCUGCCUGGAGCUGGGGACGAGGAGAGAGACUCGAUUAGAUUUUCUUCCCCAUCCUCGAGGAAGCAUCUAUAUAAUUGGGAUCACUGCCUGAUAGCACAUUCUUGAUCCCAUCAGAUCAUCUUGUGAUUCAGGCCACCGUGUAGGCAGCAGCAGGAAAAAUGAAAGCACAACAUUUGAAGAAUAAGUUAAUUUAGAAUGCAUGAUGAGAUUUGUUGAAAGAACAAUACAAAACUACAUUCAUAACAUCGUUCAUCUGAGAUGUUUUUCUGAACUGAAAAAUGAAAGAUAUGAAACUCUAAUAACCGUGGAACUGCAAUAGUUUGUCCAGUAAAUACAAUAAUGAUUUGUGUAAUGUGCCAUGUUGACUUAUUUCUUUCACAGCUGUAAAGGUUUAUGAACUAAACUGUGGUCUUUUUUAUUUUCUAAAUUAAUAUUUCUUGGGCAAACCAUUAUUGUUGAUGUGGUAAAAUGUAUUUGCCUGAAUUGACAAGUUACUAAAUUCCAGAUUUUUUUUUUUCAAUUCUAAGCUCUGAAAUGGCUUGGUUUGGAAAUGAUUAGUUUAUCUGUUGAUCUUACCCCUCUCCACUCCUCUCUACUCUUUUUCCAUCUUACUGAAAUGCCUGCUUGUGGCUCAGUAAUUAGUCUAAUAAAGGAUGGGAAACAAAAAUCUGUCUUUCCACAGAUACUGACUGAGCCGCUGGCAAUUUCUAGUUAAUAUUUAAUUGACAAUUCUAGCCUUUGCAUUUUCAUUUCUUUGUCAUUUCAAGGUAUAAUUGAUCCCAGUAAGGGUUUAUUACUUUAACAAAGAAACCAUUUUGGCUUCUUAAGAAGUGAAAGAUUUAUAAGUUUUAAUUUUCCUUUGGCCUCGGAAUGGGCCUCAGGAUCCCCUGUCAGAGGAAGUCUUGGCUGCUCCAUCAAACACCAAUGCACAGCCUUGUUGUACUCUGACAGAGUCUGCAGCAGCAUGGAAAGGACUCCAUGCCAAAAAAGCAUGGCCUUCGAUUUGAACAGAUUGGGUUGUUUUCUGAUUGCAGCAGGGCCUUGUUGCAGUUCAGUUCCAUAUAUUAAUCUACAAUCCAUAAGGUGCCAACGUUGGGUAGACAGGAAGGAAGAUCUCAUAAGAACAAAAGAAAUAGGAGCAGGAGUAGGCCAUUCAGCCCAUCGAGGCCGGUCCUCAUUCAAUAAGAUAGUGACUCUUCUGAUCUUGGCCUCAACUCCACUUUCCUGGCUGUUCCUUAUAACCCUUGACUCAUUUGUAGAUCAAACAUCUGUAUAUCUCAGCCUUAAACAUAUUUGAUGACCCAGCCUCUAUUGCUCUAGAGAAUGCCAAUGAUUAACAACCCUCUGAGAGAAGAAAUUCCUUCUCACCUGCAUCUUAAAUGAAAGGCUCCUUAUUUUUAAAAUGUGGCCCCCUAGUCCUGGGUAGUUGCUGAGAGUGGAAAUAUUUUCUCAGCAAUUACCAUAUCCUACUAUAUACUAUAUGCUUCAAUAAGAUCAUCUCUCAUUCUUCUAAACUCUAAUGAGUCUGGGUCCAACCUGCUCAACAUUUCUUCAUCUCAGGAAUCAGCCGAGUGAACUUACUCUGAACUGCCUCUGCUGUGCUCUGGCUGUAGUGAAAUUGUAAUUUUCAAAGAGUGAAUUAACAAUUUCCCUGUACCUCUCACACAAAUAAAUCUCCAUUUGACACAACUUGUUUCUUUAUUAAUAGACUGUAGCUUGUGUAAUUACUGCUUCUUUGUAAUUUUCAUUGUAGAAAAGGUGUUUGUAAAAUAAAAUGGCUGGAAAAUUACCAGAA